UACGAAGGGGGCUAGCGUUGCUCGGAAUUACUGGGCGUAAAGGGAGCGUAGGCGGACAUUUAAGUCAGGGGUGAAAUCCCAGAGCUCAACUCUGGAACUGCCUUUGAUACUGGGUGUCUUGAGCGUGAGAGAGGUAUGUGGAACUCCGAGUGUAGAGGUGAGAUUCGUAGAUAUUCGGAAGAACACCAGUGGCGAAGGCGGCCAACUGGUCCGGUACGU
rnacentral:rRNA from 1 species